rnacentral:lncRNA from 1 species
CUGGAAGGUAAACUGAUUGAUACAAUCUUUAAAGAAUAUAUGAGAGUAUAGCUUUUGUAAAAUACUUUUAAAUUAAAUUUUAUACUCAUUAGCAAUGUAUAAAAGAUACCAGUAUAGUAUGUACAAGAUUAAGGCUGAAUGGAUGAUUAUCAUGCUGUAAGCAUUACACAUAAAUUUCAAAACACAAUGUGUAAUAGAUUAUGCUGUGUACGAUAAAUGAGCUGCCCUGUAUAAGACAUGGUGCAAAGUUUAUUCUGUUUUGCAUCCAAUUUUUUAAGAUCAUUCAUUGUUGAAUUACAUAAGUAAGAUUACAGUGCAAUUUACCACUUAAAGGAGAUUGAAUAUAUCGUAGAUUGUUUUUUUUUUUUUUUACCAAUAUAAAUUCUUAUAGGCUACAUGUAGUGUGAUCAAAAACAUAUUAAGGAUUUAUGACCAAUAAGUGCAAUAAACACAUUUUAACAAGUGUUUUGAUCCUUAUAGAAGCAAUAAAGCAGAAGUGGUGCAAGAAGUACAAUUGAAUUUAUGUAUACUAUGGGAUUAUUAAAUUGAAAGUUUAUGACAUUUCAGAUUUUUCUUAUUGACUUAUUGAUGACAUUCAAUUUAAUAUGUCCUAUGUAGGUCAAUUUUAGUAUAAAUCAAGAACUUGCUGGUCGAUGUGAGCCAACGCUCUGAAGACUCUACUUUGACCUAGAAUGGUUUACUUUUACAAAUUGUUACUUGUAUGGAGAGUUGUCUCAUUGGCACUCAUACCACAUCUUCUUAUAUCUAUAUAUUUAAUUUCUUUGAAUUGAAAGUAACAACUAAUAUUUGAAAUGUUUUAAAGGUAUUUUUAGUGGAAACGUAUAAAUACAACUUUUUCCAAUGAAAUUUACACUUGAAAUCAUACAUGUAGUAUGCUCAUGUUUGAAUUGUAAAAUAUAACUUGCUUAAUUUUUUUCUCUGUUGCAUAACACAAUAUCAAAUAAUAUAUACCCUGUUUUUAUAACCAACCAAUUUCUGCUUCAAUGAUGUAUGAUGAUUCAGCUGCCGAUUCAUUGAAACUAUUUAAGGGCAAACAUUUUUUUUUCUCAAGUUCUUGUGCUUAACUUUUUAUGCUGAUAGAAUUAUGCAAUGCAUAUUUUUAUAAUUUUUUAUCUGAAGCAUUUAAUGUACUGAGCCAGGUAUUAAUGUAAUUAAGUACCUGAUUGCAAAUGUAUGAUAUUUCUACCUUAUGACAUUAUUUGUAACUUCUGGGGAAAGGUUUAGCUUUUGAGGCCUGAUUUAGAUGGUUUAAACAAAUUUGUUGUUUUCAAGAUAUGCUUACCAAUAAGAGACCCUACACAUUAUUUGUAACUUCUGGGGAAAGGUUUAGCUUUUGAGGCCUGGUUUUGAUGGUUUGAACAAAUUUGUUGUUUUCAAGAUAUGCUGACCAAUAAGAGACCCUACACAUUUCUUUUUUCAACAGACAUUUAAACUUUGUUGACAAAUUUUGUGUAAUCAUGGUAAUUGGUGAUGGUCUUUUUAAAUUGCAAAUAUAUAAUUUUCUAUAUUUAUUUGAUUUUUUGUUGUUGUGUACAUGUAGUUUUCUUCUCCACUUUGUGUUUAAUUUUUCUACUCAUUUGAUUCAUGAUUUUGAGUUAAAAUCUAAAGCAAUAAUUGUUUAUUUAAUGUUAAAAAUGUGUAUCACUGGAUGAUAUGAAUGAUUUACAUGUAUGUUCAAAUUACGUACCGUUAGUGCUUGGACUGCAAUUUAUUUCAUAUAAUUUACAUGAUUUAUAUUAUUCAAUAAAAAAAUAGAUC